UCAGAGGGUGUUUGUGCUCAGUGCAGUUAUACUCCAGUGUGGCUUGCAAAUCUGGGUAAUGGUGUUUCAAUGUCAGCACCAAGUUCUCAUGGAAGAAAUCCUUGGGAUCUGCCUCUGGAAUCCACAGCUCAGUAGUCCAUCCCAUCCUUGCAUUAGCAGACUGUGGUGGAGGUGGAUCUUGCAUCUCCUCAUCUUCAGGCACUUCCUCCUGAGCUUCCACCCUUGAUUCCUCAUCUUCCAGCUCAGGAACUCCAUCCACAUGCUGUCCUCCUAGGUUGAACAUGGCACGGUACUCCUCAGCAGCCAUGCGUGCAGCACUACGGGUGCGGGGCGGCAUCUACAAAAAGUUUUUAGACAUAGAUCAGAUGGAUGCAAUAAUUUCACAAUAGAGCAAGAUAGAGAAGCAUAAACUUUUAACAAAUACAAGACCAUAGUGGGAAGCAUGAAGUAAGUAAAAUAAGGACCUAAAUUCUCGACCAUUUGCUAACUAGGUUUGCGUCCUACAGUCAACAAAGCUCUGAUACCAAUUUGUCACACCCAUAUUUUAAGAACAAAAUAGGAUGCAUAAAAGACUCAUAUGUGCCCCAGGAAUAGUCACACACAUAAGUAGACAAAUCUCAAAUGUACCAUUGCAGUGUUUAUUACAUAGCGGAAUAUAUAUCAAAUCACAUAGUCUCAUACAAAAAUGAUAGCAUAAAGUAAGCAACGCUCUCGACGGAAGCUCCACACAGGGACACUGUUGACUGGUUGACUCCAAACCUAGUACUCAUAACGAUAAUCUUCAUUCCAGUCAUCUUCGUUAUCAUAUCCUGAGGUGUUGGGAAAUUGCAAGAGUGAGCACAUAUCGUACUCAACAAGUAUAACCAGGGGUUCAUGAGGUUCAAAUAGCUGACACUGGUUUGACUGCAUUUAGCUUUUAAUAGUGGAUAGCAAGUUCAUAAUUAAUGAGUAAUUGUCAAGGUAGCAUAAUUAAUCCAUUAAUCCCAUGAUCAAGUGUAAGCAUAAUUAAUCUCAUAGCAUAAACGAUAAUCAAAUGAACCUAACAACUUAACAAGCUCAUCGUCGUCGCAGCAAGAACCCCCAAGGCCGCUCAUAACCGUGAGCACGGCUAGUAUACCAGUUUUACACUCUGCAGAGGUUGUACAUCUUUACCCAUGAGUCAUGAUUUACCCUUUCACCCGAGGUAGCUAAUCUCUUAACCCCCUUCCUAGGGAGGUCGGCAGGGAUCACUAUGAAGCCUUUCAAAAGUUCGUCUAACAUGUUAGGGCCGCAAGGUUUCCUUUGCGAGCAGAUAUAGAUACCCCCCUUCCGAAUGGCACAAUGACGCGCAGCCUAUACACAUAGGGACAGGGGCUCGCACUAUACCCGUGUCGGUUCAGCCCCUCCGCCCUUUCGGGUAACCUCUAACAAGCUAGAAAAGUUCUUCAUACUGAGCUAAAGCCAGAGCCAUUAUAGCCCUCAUGGUUGCACUGUUGUCCCGGUGAUCACUUACAGACAAGAUCUCAUAUCGUUAUUUGUCAUUCUUUUAUGUUCAUUGCAUAGCUAUUAAUCAUCUUACAAGAUCAUGGAUUGUAUCAAGCACUAGCACAUCUACACCAAAUGCAUAUCAAGUAGGUAGCAAGGAAUCCAUGUAACAAUCAUCUAUGAUUUUGCUAAGGUCGACAAGGUGAUAGCAUGCAUAUGAUAUAUAUGUGUAGUUAUAAGUGAAUAGGUAACAAGGAUAAUCCCAAGUUAUACUUGCCUUGCUCAAAGCUCUCCUGAGCUUGCUGGUCCUCAAAAGCUUGGGCUUGGUCACCAACGUACGGCUCACCGUCUAAUCCCAAUCAUCAAACAACAACGCGCAAUCCAAUGUAGACAAUCAUACACGAAGCAAACAAACUAUAAUUAGAACAGUACACCAAACAGUGGUAAAACAAAUAUAAAGGUUCACCAAAAUAUUCUACGCAGCGCUACGAUCACCUAAACGUAAAGUUCACGAAAAUCGGAAUUAAAACGCGGAAGAUAUGAAUUUUCUAAGAUUUCCUAUAGCGAAAUAAUUAAUUAAAUAGUACCAGAAAAUUAAAAAGUUUCAAAACUGUAAACUAAUGUUUCUAACAUGUAGAGCAUAUAAUUACGAACCCAACGCAAUUUGAAUGGAUAAAAACGGAGUUAAAAUGAUCAUUUUAUAAGCAUUAUAAAUUCAGUGGCAAAACUGUAAAUACUGAAAACGUAUUUUCGGAGUCAAACUGGUUGGUUUCCGUUUUCUAAAACAGAAAGCGUAUUUCUGAAAUCCGCUUUGGACUGCGGGUUUAUUCUUAAAAAGAGCAGGGACUCUUUAACAAAAAUACCCCCCGAAGGGGUAUCUUCUAAUCUCGGCCACCGGUUCUCGAUCCAACGGCUCCGAUCACUUGGGACCAAAACCGGCCGCCGCCGGCGACCUCCUUCACGGCGGCGCCAUGGACGCCACUUAGAAGCUCGCCGGCCUCGUCCAAACUCGUCGUUCCGUGCACUAAAAAUCCAGCCGAGAGCAUGGGGAGGUAGAGGAGGAGAUCGCGAGCUCACCUAGGGCGUUCUUGCGGUGGGAGAGGGCUCAGAGAAGAGCAACUGCGUGCGGCGGCGGAAUCCUCCCCGACGAGAUCCGAAACCGCUUGGUUUUAGGUGGCUAAGGCUCGGCUUCGCGUUUUAGAUGCAAAAGGGGUUCGCUGCGGUGCUAGGGAGCCUUAUAGAGAGGUUGGUUAGUCGAUUUGGCAAGGAAAUCCCGAGUAUCGCGGGAUUGGAUCACCUCCACGCGAGUUCGGUUCGGAACCGACUGGAGGAAGGAGAAGGGCGCCCUGACCUGCGGGUCCCGCGUCGCAGAGAGAGAAGGGCGGGGAGGGAAGCUGGGCCGCUCGCUGGGCCGACGCAAGGGGACAGGGCGCGCGCGGCCUGGCCUGCUGCUGGGCUUCGGCCACUGGCCCAGGCCGAGGUCAGUGGUGUGCAUUUUUUUUUUCUUUCCUUUUUUUUUUUCCAAAGUCUUUUCUAAAUAGAGUUUUGAAUGUAAUUAAAUUUUAGCCAAGGUAAAUCAACACAAAGUAAAAUAUGAUCCAGCAUGAAUGCACAGUCAAGGUUACUAAACCUAUGAUAAAUUUUAUGUCAACAAGAUUAUUCAUUCACUAAAUUAAAUACCCACAAAAAAAAUACUUAAUUAAAUCAAAUUAAAUCCUAUUAAUUCAAAAUCAAGUUUUGGGUGUUACAAACUCUACCCCCCUUAAAAUAAUCUCGUCCUCGAGAUUGAACGGUGCUUACUCGAACAGAUAUGAGUAUGAUUUCCUCAGAUCAUCCUCUCUUUCCCAAGUUGCCUCUGCUUCCGAAUGCCGAUUCCACAGUACUUUGCACAUUCUGAUGACCCGACUUCUGGUGACUCUCUCAGCUGUCUCCAAUAUUUUGACCGGAUACUCUUCAUAAGUGAGGUCACCUUUAACAGAGAGUUCUUCCAAUGGUAGUUGCUCCUCCGGUACACGCAAACACUUCUUAAGUUGUGACACAUGGAACACAUCGUGCACACCGGACAAACUUUCAGGCAAAUCUAACCGAUAUGCUACUUCUCCACGCCUUUCUAAAACUUUAAACGGACCAACAUACCUUGGAGCUAGCUUUCCCUUCAUAUUAAACCUCUUCACACUCCGCAUCGGUGACACUUUCAGAUAGACAUAAUCACCCACUUCAAAAGCCAACUCUCUCCUACGCGUAUCUGCAUAGCUUUUCUGACGAGAUUGAGCAACUCUCAAGUUAUCCCGAAUGGUCCGCACUUGUUGUUCUGCAUGUCUAAGCACAUCUGUCCCAAACACCUGAGUUUCUCCUGUCUGAUUCCAAAACAAAGGUGUCCUGCACUUACGACCAUACAGUGCCUCGAACGGUGCCAUCUUAAGACUCUGUUGAUAGCUGUUGUUGUAGGAGAAUUCUGCAUAUGGCAAACUCUUAUCCCAACUAGUCCCAUACUGCAAGGCACAAGCUCUCAACAUAUCCUCCAAUAUCUGAUUUAUCCUCUCGGUCUGUCCAUCUGUCUGUGGAUGAUACGCUGUACUGAAAUUCAACUUUGUUCCCAAGGAAUCAUGCACUGCUUUCCAAAAGUGAGAUGUGAAUUGAGUACCCCUAUCUGACACAAUCUUCUUAGGUACUCCAUGCAAACAAACAAUUCUUUCCAUGUAUAACUCUGCCAGCCGGUCUCCACUAUAUGAAGUUUUGACCGGUAUGAAAUGAGCAACUUUGGUUAAACGAUCCACUAUCACCCAUAUUGAGUCAUACCCUCUUUGUGUGCGUGGUAAUCCCACUAUAAAAUCCAUACCCACUUCUUCCCACUUCCAUUCCGGAAUCUUCAUUGGUUGCAACAGUCCUGCUGGCCUCUGAUGUUCAGCUUUCACUCGCUGGCAAGUAUCACACAAAGCAACAUACUCAGCUACAUCUCUCUUUAAACCAUACCACCAGUACUUCUGCCUCAGAUCUAGAUACAUCUUGGUGCUACCAGGGUGAAUGGAAUAGGCUGACUCAUGAGCCUCUCUCAGAAUCGUAUCACGAAUAGCCUUCACUUCCGGAACACAUAUCCUUUUUCCAAACCACAAUACACCAUUGUCAUCUAUUCUGAAUCCUGGUGCUUUGCCUGAUGCCACAUUCUGUGCUAUCUCCUUUAGUUUCUCAUCUUCCAAUUGUCCUUUCAAUAUCUCUUCCUCUAGGGUAGGAGUGAUCUCAAUUUCCGUAGCAUUUACUACCAUUCCCAAGUUCAAAUAUGCAAAUUCAGCACACAACUCCUCAGAUUCAGGUGUCGCCUGAAGCUCAUUAGCAUAUUUCUUUCUGCUAAGUGCAUCAGCUACGACGUUCGCCUUUCCAGGAUGAUAAUGCACUUCCAAGUCAUAAUCCUUUAUCAGUUCCAACCAUCUUCGUUGCCUCAAAUUCAGAUCUGUCUGAGUGAAGAUGUACUUCAAACUCUUAUGAUCAGUGUAUAUGUCACUCUUAUGCCCAAUCAAAUAGUGUCUCCAAAUCUUCAAUGCAUGAACCACAGCUGCUAACUCCAAAUCAUGAGUAGGAUAAUUCAGUUCAUGUUUCCUCAACUGUCUAGAUGCAUAAGCAACAACUCUACCUUCUUGCAUAAGAACACAACCCAAACCCAGACGGGAAGCAUCACAAUAGAUAGAGAAACUCUUACUCAGAUCUGGCAAAACCAACACAGGCGCAGUAGUCAAUCUCUUCUUGAACUCCUCAAAACUAGCUUGACACUUGUCAGACCACACAAACUUAGCAUUCUUCUCUAAUAGAGCAGUCAUAGGCUUUGCAAGUUUUGAGAACCCUUCAAUGAAUCUACGAUAGUAACCAGCUAGACCAAGAAAACUGUGAAUUUCACUUACAUCGGUAGGUGGUUUCCAAUUCAACACAUCUUUCACCUUACUAGGAUCCACUGCAAUACCACCAUUUGAGACAACAUGACCAAGAAAAGAAACUUCCUCCAACCAAAACUCACACUUACUACGCUUAGCAUACAACUUAUGUUCUCUAAGUUUCUGUAAGACCAAUCUCAGAUGUUCAGCAUGUUCUUCCUUGGUUUUAGAGAAUACCAGAAUAUCAUCAAUAAAGACCACCACAAACUUAUCCAGAUACUCCAUAAAUACUUUAUUCAUCAUGUACAUAAAGUAAGCUGGUGCAUUGGUCAAACCAAAAGACAUAACUGUAUACUCAUAUAACCCAUACCUUGUUGUGAAAGUUGUCUUUGGUAUAUCUGAAUUCCGAAUCUUCAAUUGAUGAUAACCAGAACGCAAAUCAAUCUUAGAGAACACACAAGCACCUCUUAGCUGAUCAAAUAAGUCAUCAAUCCUAGGCAAUGGAUAUUUAUUCUUGAUAGUGACCUCAUUAAGUGACCGAUAAUCAACACACAUCCUCUGACUACCAUCCUUCUUAUCAACAAAGAUAACUGGUGCACCCCAUGGUGAGGAACUAGGACGAAUGAACCCUUUAUCUUGCAAUUCCUUAAUUUGUUUCUUAAGUUCUUCUAGUUCCUUAACCCCCAUCCUAUAUGGUCUUUUAGCUAUGGGUGCAGUACCAGGUAGUAAUUCAAUAAUAAAUUCAAUGUCUCGGUCAGGUGGCAUACCUGGCAAUUCGUCUGGAAAGACAUCCGGAAACUCAUCCACUACUAAAUUCUGAGGAUCAACAUCAUCAGUCAGUUGGUUCACUUUAGCUGUGAGUGGUGCUUGCAUUGUUACAUCAACACUGAUUCUUUCUCCCUUUGGUGUUGUUAGAGCCACUACUCUCUCUUUGCAAUUAAUAUUUGUUUCAUGUUGCUUCAUCCAAUCCAAACCCAAGAUCACAUCUAUGCCUGAAGUUCUCAUAACCAUGGGGCUGAUAGGAAAAUCUACCCCCCUUAAAGAAAGACUUGCUGAGGGGCAACGUAAAGAAACUGGUAUAGUCCCACCCGGUGAAUUAACUAACAUAGGGGUGUUCAUUGCAACUAGUGGAAGGCUAUGAACUCUAACAAAUGCUUGUGAUAUGAAUGUAUGCGAAGCUCCCGAAUCAAAUAAAACUGUAGCAGGGAUAGAGUUGAUGCUGAACGUACCCAUCAUGAUUUCUGGUCCCUCCUGAACAGUUUCUGCUGCCACGUUGUUCACCUUUGCUGAAUUAGGAGUGGAUCUCCGGUCGUUGUACUGCGGAUUAAACUUCUCUGGACAAUCAUAGGACAUAUGUCCUUCCUUCCCACAACGGAAACACCUGGUAGGAGUGUUAGAGGCACUUCUUUUUGUGGAGUUGGCAUUUGGGUUCCCUGGGCGAGGUGCCUGCUGGCCAUGCUGCUGUUGAUUAUGGUUACGUUGUUGGAAUGGAGGACGUUGGUUCCCACUCUGUGACUGAUUCUGGAAACGCUGGGGUUGUUGGUUGCGGUUCCACUGACUAACUGGUCCCUGGAACCUCUGCUGAUGACCUUGAUGAGAACUGAAACGCUGACGGUUGUUGCUCCCAGAACCUUGGGCCAGCAUCCUUCUCUUCUUAUCCUGACUCUUCCGCAUAUUAUCAAGCACGAUAGCACGAUUCACAAGAGCCUGGAAGGUAGGAUAGGUGUUUCCAGCCAACUGCAACCUGAGUUCAUAGUACAAGCCCUUCAUGAAUAGACGCUGCUUAUCAGCAUCUUCCCUGACAUCAUUCGGAGCAUAGCGAGCCAACUGUUCAAAUGUGUCAUGAUAUUCUGCCACAGUCAUGGAGCCCAUCCUGAGUGAUCUGAAUUCUUCUUGUUUGAGCUCCAUCACUCCUUCAUUUAUAUGUCGAGCUCUGAAGUCUCUACAGAAUUCCAGCCAUGUGACAGGAGGAGCAGUGUUGGGACGAGCAGCUUGAUACGACUCCCACCAUGUCUGAGCUGCACCUUGAAGCUGUCCAGAAGCAUACAACACCUUCUCCAAGUCGUUGCACUGUGCUAUGUUUAGCUGCCUCUCCACAGCACGUAACCAAUCAUCUGCCUCCAUGGGAUCAGCUGAGUGUGUAAAUACUGGAGGUCUUCCCUUCAUAAACUCCCCACGCUUGUCCCUCACCUGAAUAGGUGGUGGUGUCGAUGGAGGUUGUUGCUGCAGGUGCUGCAUGAAAACGUGCAUCAUCUGAUUUUGGGUUUGCAUGAGUUCCUCCACGGUGAUUGGGGCAUUGCCACCAUUGCCAUUGUCAUUGCCAUUGCCACGGCCUCUGCCUCUGCCUCUUCCCCUUGCUGCCAUCUGCAUUCCAAGGUAUAUAAACACAUCUUAGUAAUGUCCAACAUGGCAAUUACAAGAGUUAACCGAAUCUGAAAUUUUCUGGGUAACAUCCAACAUCAGCAGAUCAGAAAAUCAGUAAUAUCUCGAGUUCCAGAAUUCAAAAGGACACAUGCUGUACACCGUUGGAAAGAUAAAGAAAUUGUCUACAACUUUCAUUUAGAUCAUAUUACCAGAUUCCAACGUUAGUUUAAUCAAAAACUGUGUACAACCGAAACUGUUCUAGAAUUCCAGACUGCGCAGAAACCUCAACUUUAAACAGUCAUAACUCACAGCUCAUAAUAGAUAAUAUGAUCAUUCUUGUGGCAUUGGAAAGAUAUGAAAGUCUACUUAUUCCCAGAAAAAUUUGAUGAACAUUGCACGAACAGAAUUUGAUUUAUUCCAGAAUCAUGGCAGACUGCUCCAGAAAACAGCAAAAGACAGAAACAGGAUAUGACCCCAACCCGCUAUUUAUUCAUGUUCUUACUUAAGGUUUUUAACUAGGGAACUUGUGGACAUGCCCACAAAGUCCCAGCACUCAUUACAAAAAUCCAAAUCACACAUAUUCAUAAUAACAAAUCAGCAAGCACACCAAGUUCACACCACACUAGCAAAAGACUCGAACUAACUCGCAACUACUAACGUUUACUAUUACAUAUGGGUUCUUUUUCUAUUCCUCGGGUGCAGCAUCCUUCAAGAUGGGUUCAACGUGCAGCCUCUUAUGAAGUUUGGGGCGGCCUAACUCCGCUCGAAGGUCAUCUGCUUCCCGUCGCUCUUUCUCCAUCAGUUUCCUCUCACGGUGCAGUUCAUUCUCCAACUCUAUCACCUUGAGUGUCAGCUCAUAGGUCAACUCCACUUGUGCUUGAAGCUUUGGUUGUGAAGCAUCUGCAACUUCUAUGGCCCAAGUCAUCUUCUCUGGUACAAAGCGAGGAUAGUGGUAUGUUGCAUUAUACUGAACAUCCUCAAAGCGUCUACCACGGUAAAAGAUCAAGGCCUGGUAAGCUGCAUCUGCCAUGCUCUCUCUCAUCGUGUCCCGGCUGAUUCGGGCAAUGUGUUUUGAUUCCACCUUUCGAAUCCCCUUAAUGGCAUCCAGUGUCUUGACUAUCAGCUCUGCAAUCCAAAGUGAUCUCCUCAGAGGGUGUUUGUGCUCAGUGCAGUUAUACUCCAGUGUGGCUUGCAAAUCUGGGUAAUGGUGUUUCAAUGUCAGCACCAAGUUCUCAUGGAAGAAAUCCUUGGGAUCUGCCUCUGGAAUCCACAGCUCAGUAGUCCAUCCCAUCCUUGCAUUAGCAGACUGUGGUGGAGGUGGAUCUUGCAUCUCCUCAUCUUCAGGCACUUCCUCCUGAGCUUCCACCCUUGAUUCCUCAUCUUCCAGCUCAGGAACUCCAUCCACAUGCUGUCCUCCUAGGUUGAACAUGGCACGGUACUCCUCAGCAGCCAUGCGUGCAGCACUACGGGUGCGGGGCGGCAUCUACAAA
rnacentral:lncRNA from 1 species